rnacentral:rRNA from 1 species
CUCCUUGACGUUAGCGGCGGACGGGUGAGUAACACGUGGGUAACCUACCUAUAAGACUGGGAUAACUUCGGGAAACCGGAGCUAAUACCGGAUAAUAUUCGAACCGCAUGGUUCGAUAGUGAAAGGUGGUUUUGCUAUCACUUAUAGAUGGACCCGCGCCGUAUUAGCUAGUUGGUAAGGUAACGGCUUACCAAGGCGACGAUACGUAGCCGACCUGAGAGGGUGAUCGGCCACACUGGAACUGAGACACGGUCCAGACUCCUACGGGAGGCAGCAGGC